rnacentral:lncRNA from 1 species
AAUCCUUAUUUCAAAUAUAAUUUGUAUACAAGAGUGUACGUAUGUGCUAAUAGUAAAAUUUUUUCAAUAUAUUUUGUGUCGUUUAUUUCAUGUCUUAUUUGUUUUUAAAAAUUUAAAUUCAAGUCCUAUUUAUUCACAUAGUUUAAUAGAGUAUGUUGUUCAAGAAAAAACUAAAAAAUAAAAAUAAAAAACGUGGAAGUUUGUGAUCCAGCACAGAUAUCUGCAAAUGUAAAAUAAUUUCAUAUAUCAUGAAGACAACGUUUUAAUUUUUUUCAAUAAAACUAACUUAUGGAUACACAAGAAUUUAGCAUCUGAUACAUGUUCAGAUUUCAGUAGCAGAGAAAAAUAUUUUUCUAUCAUACUGGAGAAGAUCAUGCCUUUUCCAUGAAUCUUUUUUAAUGUUUCAUUCUUUAUUUUUAUUUAUAUUUAUUUUCAUUAUUUUUUUCUUUUCGUUGAAUUUAUUUAAAUUGUAAAUGCACAAGAAAUUCUUAGGGUUGUGUUGAGAAAUUCGAAAUCAAUCCAAGAAAGUUGUAAUAAAUUUG